CGAUCAGGAGGGCUCCAAGGAGCCAAAACCCUAACUCAAUCCAAUUCAUCAAAUUGAAGGUCGAUUUCAGUCUUAAAUCAAUGCAUGGACACAAAUUCGUGAUCACCUAAGCAUAGGGAUCGAAAGUUUGACGCUAAACGAGCUAGGUGGAAGCUUGAGGACGAAACGGGUCAAACGAAUCAAUAAGGAAAAGUAAAGCAUAGUUCUGAUGCAAGGUAUAUCUUGGAAUGUCGGGUGAUGAUCAAGCUCAUCGAAGAACCGAACACGAUCUAGAUACAAGCUUCCGCACACCGUUUCGUUGUA